rnacentral:rRNA from 1 species
GACGAACGCUGGCGGCGUGCUUAACACAUGCAAGUCGAACGAAGAGCGAUGGAAGCUUGCUUCUAUCAAUCUUAGUGGCGAACGGGUGAGUAACGCGUAAUCAACCUGCCCUUCAGAGGGGGACAACAGUUGGAAACGACUGCUAAUACCGCAUACGAUCUAACCUCGGCAUCGAGGAUAGAUGAAAGGUGGCCUCUACAUGUAAGCUAUCACUGAAGGAGGGGAUUGCGUCUGAUUAGCUAGUUGGAGGGGUAACGGCCCACCAAGGCGAUGAUCAGUAGCCGGUCUGAGAGGAUGAACGGCCACAUUGGGACUGAGACACGGCCCAGACUCCUACGGGAGGCAGCAGUGGGGAAUCUUCCGCAAUGGACGAAAGUCUGACGGAGCAACGCCGCGUGAGUGAUGACGGCCUUCGGGUUGUAAAGCUCUGUUAAUCGGGGACGAAAGGGCCUUU